AAUCAACGCUGGCGGCGUGCCUCAGACAUGCAAGUCGAACGAUUAAGACUUCCUUCGGGAAGUGUAUAAAGUGGCGCACGGGUGAGUAACACGUAAGUAGUCUACCCUCGAGUGGGGAAUAACGUUCGGAAACGAACGCUAAUACCGCAUAGUGCAGCGGCAUCGCAAGAUGACAGUUGUUAAAGGAGUAAUUCGCUUGAGGAGGAGCUUGCGGCAGAUUAGCUAGUUGGUAAGGUAACGGCUUACCAAGGCUACGAUCUGUAUCCGGUCUAAGAGGACGGUCGGACACACUGACACUGAAUAACGGGUCAGACUCCUACGGGAGGCAGCAGUCGGGAAUUUUGGGCAAUGGGCGAAAGCCUGACCCAGCAACGCCGCGUGAAGGAUGAAGUAUUUCGGUAUGUAAACUUCGAAAGAAUGGGAAGAAUAAAUGACGGUACCAUUUAUAAGCUCCGGCUAACUACGUGCCAGCAGCCGCGGUAACAC
rnacentral:rRNA from 1 species